rnacentral:rRNA from 1 species
UACGUAGGGGGCGAGCGUUGUCCGGAAUCAUUGGGCGUAAAGCGCGUGUAGGCGGCCCGGUAAGUCCGCUGUGAAAGUCCAGGGCUCAACCCUGGGAUGCCGGUGGAUACUGUCGGGCUCGAGUCCGGAAGAGGCGAGUGGAAUUCCUGGUGUAGCGGUGAAAUGCGCAGAUAUCAGGAGGAACACCAAUGGCGAAGGCAGCUCGCUGGGACGGUACUGACGCUGAGGAGCGAAAGCGUGGGGAGCGAACAGG